rnacentral:rRNA from 1 species
GUGUUGUAAGUGUCUAAGGGCGCACGGUGGAUGCCUUGGCGCAAGGAGCCGAUGAAGGACGUGGGAGGCUGCGAUAUGCCUCGGGGAGCUGUCAACCGAGCUGUGAUCCGAGGAUUUCCGAAUGGGGAAACCCAGCACCAGUCAUGUGGUGUUACCCGCCGUUGAAUAUAUAGACGGUGUGGAGGGAACGAGGGGAAGUGAAACAUCUCAGUACCCUCAGGAAGAGAAAACAAUAGUGAUUCCGUGAGUAGUGGCGAGCGAAAGCGGAUGAGGCU